GGUUAAGCGACUAAGCGUACACGGUGGAUGCCCUGGCAGUCAGAGGCGAUGAAGGACGUGCUAAUCUGCGAAAAGCGUCGGUAAGGUGAUAUGAACCGUUACAGCCGGCGAUGUCCGAAUGGGGAAACCCAGUGCAAUUCGUUGCACUAUCGUUAACUGAAUACAUAGGUUAACGAGGCGAACCGGGGGAACUGAAACAUCUAAGUACCCCGAGGAAAAGAAAUCAACCGAGAUUCCCCCAGUAGCGGCGAGCGAACGGGGAGCAGCCCGGAGUCUGAAUCAGCUUGUGUGUUAGUGGAAGCGUCUGGAAAGUCGCAGGGUACAGGGUGAUACUCCCGUACACUAAAACACACAGGUUGUGAACUCGAAGAGUAGGGCGGGACACGUGGUAUCCUGUCUGAAUAUGGGGGGACCAUCCUCCAAGGCUAAAUACUCCUGACUGACCGAUAGUGAACCAGUACCGUGAGGGAAAGGCGAAAAGAACCCCGGCGAGGGGAGUGAAAAAGAACCUGAAACCGUGUACGUACAAGCAGUAGGAGCCCACUUGUUGGGUGACUGCGUACCUUUUGUAUAAUGGGUCAGCGACUUAUAUUCUGUAGCAAGGUUAACCGUAUAGGGGAGCCGCAGGGAAACCGAGUCUUAACUGGGCGUUAAGUUGCAGGGUAUAGACCCGAAACCCGGUGAUCUAGCCAUGGGCAGGUUGAAGGUUGGGUAACACUAACUGGAGGACCGAACCGACUAAUGUUGAAAAAUUAGCGGAUGACUUGUGGCUGGGGGUGAAAGGCCAAUCAAACCGGGAGAUAGCUGGUUCUCCCCGAAAGCUAUUUAGGUAGCGCCUCGUGAACUCAUCUUCGGGGGUAGAGCACUGUUUCGGCUAGGGGGUCAUCCCGACUUACCAACCCGAUGCAAACUACGAAUACCGAAGAAUGUUAUCACGGGAGACACACGGCGGGUGCUAACGUCCGUCGUGAAGAGGGAAACAACCCAGACCGCCAGCUAAGGUCCCAAAGUCAUGGUUAAGUGGGAAACGAUGUGGGAAGGCCCAGACAGCCAGGAUGUUGGCUUAGAAGCAGCCAUCAUUUAAAGAAAGCGUAAUAGCUCACUGGUCGAGUCGGCCUGCGCGGAAGAUGUAACGGGGCUAAACCAUGCACCGAAGCUGCGGCAGCGACACUAUGUGUUGUUGGGUAGGGGAGCGUUCUGUAAGCCGUUGAAGGUGGCCUGUGAGGGUUGCUGGAGGUAUCAGAAGUGCGAAUGCUGACAUAAGUAACGAUAAUGCGGGUGAAAAACCCGCACGCCGGAAGACCAAGGGUUCCUGUCCAACGUUAAUCGGGGCAGGGUGAGUCGACCCCUAAGGCGAGGCCGAAAGGCGUAGUCGAUGGGAAACAGGUUAAUAUUCCUGUACUCGGUGUUACUGCGAAGGGGGGACGGAGAAGGCUAUGUUGGCCGGGCGACGGUUGUCCCGGUUUAAGCAUGUAGGCGGAUGUUCCAGGUAAAUCCGGAACGUCACUAACGCUGAGGUGUGAUGACGAGGCACUACGGUGCUGAAGUGACAAAUGCCCUGCUUCCAGGAAAAGCCUCUAAGCAUCAGGUAACAUCAAAUCGUACCCCAAACCGACACAGGUGGUCAGGUAGAGAAUACCAAGGCGCUUGAGAGAACUCGGGUGAAGGAACUAGGCAAAAUGGUGCCGUAACUUCGGGAGAAGGCACGCUGAUGGUAGGUGAAGUGACUUGCUCAUGGAGCUGAAAUCAGUCGAAGAUACCAGCUGGCUGCAACUGUUUAUUAAAAACACAGCACUGUGCAAACACGAAAGUGGACGUAUACGGUGUGACGCCUGCCCGGUGCCGGAAGGUUAAUUGAUGGGGUUAUCCUCGCGGAGAAGCUCUUGAUCGAAGCCCCGGUAAACGGCGGCCGUAACUAUAACGGUCCUAAGGUAGCGAAAUUCCUUGUCGGGUAAGUUCCGACCUGCACGAAUGGCGUAAUGAUGGCCAGGCUGUCUCCACCCGAGACUCAGUGAAAUUGAACUCGCUGUGAAGAUGCAGUGUACCCGCGGCAAGACGGAAAGACCCCGUGAACCUUUACUAUAGCUUGACACUGAACACUGGUCCUUGAUGUGUAGGAUAGGUGGGAGGCUUUGAAGUGUGGACGCCAGUCUGCAUGGAGCCAUCCUUGAAAUACCACCCUUUAAUGGCUGGUGUUCUAACGUGGGCCCCUAAUCGGGGUUGCGGACAGUGUCUGGUGGGUAGUUUGACUGGGGCGGUCUCCUCCUAAAGAGUAACGGAGGAGCACGAAGGUCAGCUAAUCCUGGUCGGACAUCAGGAGGUUAGUGCAAUGGCAUAAGCUGGCUUGACUGCGAGCGUGACGGCGCGAGCAGGUGCGAAAGCAGGUCAUAGUGAUCCGGUGGUUCUGAAUGGAAGGGCCAUCGCUCAACGGAUAAAAGGUACUCCGGGGAUAACAGGCUGAUACCGCCCAAGAGUUCAUAUCGACGGCGGUGUUUGGCACCUCGAUGUCGGCUCAUCACAUCCUGGGGCUGAAGUAGGUCCCAAGGGUAUGGCUGUUCGCCAUUUAAAGUGGUACGCGAGCUGGGUUUAGAACGUCGUGAGACAGUUCGGUCCCUAUCUGCCGUGGGCGCUGGAGAAUUGAGGGGGGCUGCUCCUAGUACGAGAGGACCGGAGUGGACGCAUCACUGGUGUUCGGGUUGUCAUGCCAAUGGCAUUGCCCGGUAGCUAAAUGCGGAAGAGAUAAGUGCUGAAAGCAUCUAAGCACGAAACUUGCCCCGAGAUGAGUUCUCCCUGACCCUUUAAGGGUCCUGAAGGAACGUUGAAGACGACGACGUUGAUAGGCCGGGUGUGUAAGCGCAGCGAUGCGUUGAGCUAACCGGUACUAAUGAACCGUGAGGCUUAACCUU
rnacentral:rRNA from 1 species